AUUGAACGCUAGCGGGAUGCUUUACACAUGCAAGUCGAACGAGUGGCGGACGGGUGAGUAAUAUAUCGGAACGUGCCCAGUAGCGGGGGAUAACUACUCGAAAGAGUGGCAAAUACCGCAUAAUAUUGGAGCGGGCGAUAUCGGAUUAGCUAGUUGGGGGUGUAAAGGCCCACCAAGGCAACGAUACGUAGCAGGGUUGGGCGGGCGACCAGCCACACUGGGACUGGGACACGACCCAGACUCCUUCGGGAGGCAUCAGUGGGGAAUUUUGGACAAUGGUGGAAACCCUGAUCCAUCCAUCCCGGGUGUAUGAGAAGGCCUUCGGGUUGUAAAGUACUUUUGGCAGAGAAGCGGUAUCUGCAGAAUAAACACCGGCUAACUACGUGCCAGCAGCCGCGGUAAUUC
rnacentral:rRNA from 1 species